rnacentral:rRNA from 1 species
GACGAACGCUCGCGGCGUGCUUAACACAUGCAAGUCGAACGGAAAGGCCCUGCUUUUGUGGGGUGCUCGAGUGGCGAACGGGUGAGUAACACGUGAGUAACCUGCCCUUGACUUUGGGAUAACUUCAGGAAACUGGGGCUAAUACCGGAUAGGAGCUCCUGCUGCAUGGUGGGGGUUGGAAAGUUUCGGCGGUUGGGGAUGGACUCGCGGCUUAUCAGCUUGUUGGUGGGGUAGUGGCUUACCAAGGCUUUGACGGGUAGCCGGCCUGAGAGGGUGACCGGCCACAUUGGGACUGAGAUACGGCCCAGACUCCUACGGGAGGCAGCAGUGGGGAAUAUUGCACAAUGGGCGGAAGCCUGAUGCAGCAACGCCGCGUGCGGGAUGACGGCCUUCGGGUUGUAAACCGCUUUCGCCUGUGACGAAGCGUGAGUGACGGUAAUGGGUAAAGAAGCACCGGCUAACUACGU